UCCAGCAAUAUAAAAAAAGAGGGCAUUAAUAUGUUGUUUCGCCCGGGGCAUGAAAAACCUUAGGACCGGCCCUGGUUCUAUGUUUGUAAAGGUAAUAAUAGAGUAAAUUUAUGUUUGAUUUUUCUAUUUUGACUGGGUUUAUACUUGUAUUCUAUUUUCUAUUUUAAUAUUUGUAUUUUUGUUGAACACAGGAUGUAGAAAAAGAGAAUGAAUAGGAGGAGAAAUUUGUUGGUAAUAAGGAUUAGGAUAAUGAUUCUUCAGAUGGUGAUGUACUUGUUAAUGGUCAUGAGGCUGAGGCUGGGGUUGAUGAAGAGUGGGUUAUAGAUAAUGCAUGAAAUCCGUCAGCAGCUUAAAAGCAAUUUGUGAAAAAUUCGAAUCUUAUUUUCUGGUGAUUUAUUUCAAUUUUAUUUUUUUAAUUUAUUGUUUGUGUAUUAUGUGGACCUGUGGUCUAACUUGUUCAACUUCAUUUUUCUCUGAAUGAUAGUACUUACAUGGCGUCACUAUUUUCACUAUAGACGGUUAUGAACUCCUUCGUCAGGUAAGAUUUAAUUAUAAGAUUCUUUUUUUUCUCUGAUUUUUUGUACGAUUUUAUUCAUGAUUUGAUGAAAUGCUUGGUUGAAGAGGAUUGAGAAGGGUAAAAUAGUCAUUUUCACAAGUUUAUCUUUUGUUCAAAUCUGACCGGGUGGAAUAGUAAAAUAUGAGCUACUGGUGGAAUAGUCAAAAAUGGUUUCCUUCUUUUUCUUUCUUUUUCAGAUAUAGUAGUUGCAUUAAAGCUUUUUGCUGCCAUGGAUCCAUAUUAGGUUGUUAUGCAAGCUGGUGAUGCUGAGCUUGAAAUGCGAGGAAGGUGCAGUGCAGGUCAACAGGUGCUUGCUUCACUGUGGAAUACUUGCACUUGAUGAACUAACCACCAAUUUAGAUGUUCCAAAUGUCUAAAGUCUGGCUGCUGCUCUUGUAAGUUAUCAAUCAUGUCAACCUUCAACAGUAGAAAAAGAUAUCGUGUAUGUGUUCUUGUGCUGCCAUUGUGGAUUCGGGAACAUCCUUGCUUACUGGUCCAACCGUAUGUAUCUCACGUAAAGCUUCUGUUAGAACUAUUAAUCUCAGGGAUUUCAAGUUUUUCAUAAUUCUUGUAUAUAAUUAGUUUGUAAAGCUCUAUUACAACUUCUAUUGAUUUGUUUUAUUUUUUCAUGGAACGAUUAUUUGUUUGACAUUAAAUUUUAUGCAAUGGAUUGUAUG